rnacentral:rRNA from 1 species
UGGGGAAUUGUUCGCAAUGGGCGCAAGCCUGACGACGCAACGCCGCGUGGAGGAUGAAGGUCUUCGGAUUGUAAACUCCUGUCGAACGGGACGAACACCUUCCGGGUUAAUACUCCGGGAGGCUGACGGUACCGUGAGAGGCAGCCCCGGCUAACUCUGUGCCAGCAGCCGCGGUAAUACAGAGGGGGCAAGCGUUGUUCGGAAUUACUGGGCGUAAAGGGCGCGUAGGCGGCCCUCUAAGUCAGACGUGAAAUCCCUCGGCUCAACCGGGGAACUGCGUCUGAGACUGGAAGGCUUGAAUUCGGGAGAGGGAUGUGGAAUUCCAGGUGUAGCGGUGAAAUGCGUAGAUAUCUGGAGGAACACCGGUGGCGAAGGCGGCAUCCUGGACCGAGAUUGACGCUGAUGCGCGAAAGCCAGGGGAGCAAA